AAUUGAAGUUUACAAAUUUUAAAAAUUCUUUAAUAACCAAUUGAAUUUUCAAUUUUUGGAAAAAAAGAGGACAUAUUCUGUCGUGAAGAGAAAGAGAGUUUUGUCCUAGAUGGGUAAUGAAGCAUUAUCUUAUUGUAUUGCAUUGUAUAACAAAGUGAAUGCUAUUCAUCUUAAUAAACUUGGUUAAAAAAUGUUACUGCAAUGUCAUUAAAAUGACUCACAGUAUAUUCUUGAAAAUAGCAUUUCUUUCUAAUUGUCAAAAUGUUUUUAAUUGAAAAUGAAAUCUUUAUGAAAUUAUUUUUGUUUUAAUUCACAAUAUUUCCUUGGUUUUAAUGCUAUUGUUUUAUUGAUAGAAGCAAUGUGGCUGUAAAACAGAAUUAACAUAAUCAGGCCAGUGGUGGAGAAAAGAAUCAUGUGAUUAUGUUCAAUUAUCAUAGACAAAUAAAUAUCAAACAAU
rnacentral:sRNA from 1 species